rnacentral:rRNA from 1 species
AUACGGAGGGUGCAAGCGUUAAUCGGAAUUACUGGGCGUAAAGCGCGCGUAGGCGGUUUGAUAAGUCGGAUGUGAAAGCCCUGGGCUCAACCUGGGAACUGCAUUCGAAACUAUUUGACUAGAGUAUGGUAGAGGUAAGUGGAAUUCCAGGUGUAGCGGUGAAAUGCGUAGAUAUCUGGAGGAACAUCAGUGGCGAAGGCGACUUACUGGACCAAUACUGACGCUGAGGUGCGAAAGCGUGGGGAGCAAACAGGAUUAGAAACCCCAGUAGUCC